rnacentral:rRNA from 1 species
AUUGAACGCUGGCGGCAUGCCUUACACAUGCCAGUCGAACGGCAGCACGGGUGCUUGCCCCUGGUGGCGAGUGGCGAACGCGUGAGUAUUACAUCUGAAUAUGUCCCGUAGUGGGGGAUAGCCCGGCGAAAGCCGGAUUACUACCGCAUACGAUCUACGGAUGAAAGCGGGGGACCUUCUGGCCUCGCGCUAUGCGGUUGGCUGAUGGCUGAUUAGCUAGUUGGUGGGGUAAAGGCCUACCAAGGCGACGAUCAGUAGCUGGUCUGAGAGGACGACCAGCCACACUGGGACUGAGACACGGCCCAGACUCCUACGGGAGGCAGCAGUGGGGAAUUUUGGACAAUGGGCGAAAGCCUGAUCCAGCAAUGCCGCGUGUGUGAAGAAGGCCUUCGGGUUGUAAAGCACUUUUGUCCGGAAAGAAAUCCUUGGCCCUAAUACGGUCGGGGGAUGACGGUACCGGAAGAAUAAGCACCGGCUAACUACGUG